rnacentral:rRNA from 1 species
UUGCACGCUGGCGGCAGGCCUAACACAUGCAAGUCGAGCGGAUGAAGGGAGCUUGCUCCUGGAUUCAGCGGCGGACGGGUGAGUAAUGCCUAGGAAUCUGCCUGGUAGUGGGGGAUAACGUCCGGAAACGGGCGCUAAUACCGCAUACGUCCUGAGGGAGAAAGUGGGGGAUCUUCGGAACUCACGCUAUCAGAUGAGCCUAGGUCGGAUUAGCUAGUUGGUGAGGUAAAGGCCUACCAAGGCGACGAUCCGUAACUGGUCUGAGAGGAUGAUCAGUCACACUGGAACUGAGACACGGUCCAGACGCCUAGGGGAGGCAGCAGUAGCGAAUAUUGGACAAUGGGCGAAAGCCUGAUCCAGCCAUGCCGCGUGUGUGAAGAAGGUCUUCGGAUUGUAAAGCACUUUAAGUUGGGAGGAAGGGCAGUAAGUUAAUACCUUGCUGUUUUGACGUUACCAACAGAAUAAGCCCCGGCUAACUUCGUG